rnacentral:lncRNA from 1 species
UCUCUGUAAAAAUAAUUUUUAAGCAUACAUUUUAUUCUUUUUUUGCAACAACCGAGAUUUUUCCAAGAUUGUUCUGUUUCCCCUCGCCCUCCUAGCUCCCGCCCCCGUCACUUCGGCGCUUGUAUUUUCUAAUUAUUCAUGGGUGCCAUGUUGAGUGUUUGUAAUUUGACCACCACAGGUAAGCUUCCUGUUUACUUGAACACUCAGCCUCAUCUCCGGUGAAUGAAGGGAAAAGCACAGAUGGGUUUCUCCCAGGCACAGCUCACUCCAAAGGUGUCUUCAUAGAGCCAACCCAGCCUUUCUCAAGGGAGCAUUUCCCCACUUAAUGUGUUUAUCAGCAUCUUUCUUCCGCCAAGAAUUCAAGAGCAUUUUCAAAAUUGAUAGAUUUUGGUGCAGUUUUGCAAGUUUCCGUGGAAGGCUGUCUCCCGCUUCUGGGAUCCACCCCCAUGUCGGGACCAGAUCGGCUGCAGGGAGUCAUGUUUAUGAAAUGUUGGUGGUUUUUUUUUUUUUUCAUUCAUACUAGAAGUGUUUUUAUAACGAAAAUCUGCACUUUACAACUCUGCAGGCCAUGCAUGCAAUGGUGAUUUACAGCCUUGUUUACGUGUAAUUCCUCCAGGUGAUUUAUCCCAAUUUAUGCAAAGAUCCUAUUUUAAACAGACACGGAGAAGUGGUAACCGUUUCCUAACAGCAGCAAGAAUGCCCCUUCCGUUUGCCUGGUGAAAAGAACUGACAUUAACAGCAGCUUGGAGGCUUCGAGGAGGUGGGGACGUGGCCUGAGCUCGGGACGGGGGCCCAGUGCGGGUUGUCGGAGCGUGGCUGCCCGGCGAUGUCUCUGUAUUUAUCAAUAAAUCUCCC